GCCGGGAGAUGGUGAAAUCCCCUGGAGUGUCAAAAGAAGCAGUUCUUCCCGGUGGAAGCACAUCACACCCAUUUUGAAAGAGCUGCACUGGCUACCAGUUUGUUUCCGGGUCCAAUUCAAGAUACGUGAAGCUGCAAUUGUUGAAGCCGUGGACAAAGAGGGCCUCCUCCAGUAUACAUUACCAGAAAAAGCCAUGAGGUUAAACAUGCCCAGCCCUUUCCUCGUGAGACCUGGUUUCCAGACCCCUCACCAUCUUGGCUGCCCUCUUCGGAACCCAUCCCAGUUCAUCAGCAUCCUUCUUAAAAUGCAAGGCCCAGAACUGGACAUGGCAUCCCAAGUGAGGUCUGACCAGCGCAGAGUAGAGUGGAUUGAUUCCAUCUUGUGAGCUGGACACUCUGCUUCUGGGAAUGCAACUGAAGGCUGCAUUCGCCUUUUUUGCAGCUGCAUCGUGCUGCUGGGCUUUCUGUGGAAUACAAACCGGCCUUUGGAUAUGUUUGAAUGCAGAAGAAACACCACAAUUGCCUUCGUAGCUAUACAAAGCGACGAGUUGUACAUCAACAUGGGCAUUAUCUAUCCGAAACCCUUUCUGGUGUGUGCGUGUGUGAGAUUUAAGACAACUCAU